rnacentral:rRNA from 1 species
AACGAACGCUGGCGGCAGGCCUAACACAUGCAAGUCGAGCGAGGACUUCGGUUCUAGCGGCGGACGGGUGAGUAACGCGUGGGAAUGUGCCCUUCUCUACGGAAUAGCCCUGGGAAACUGGGAGUAAUACCGUAUACGCCCUAUUGGGGAAAGAUUUAUCGGAGAAGGAUCAGCCCGCGUUGGAUUAGGUAGUUGGUGGGGUAAUGGCCUACCAAGCCGACGAUCCAUAGCUGGUUUGAGAGGAUGAUCAGCCACACUGGGACUGAGACACGGCCCAGACUCCUACGGGAGGCAGCAGUGGGGAAUCUUAGACAAUGGGGGCAACCCUGAUCGAGCCAUGCCGCGUGAGUGAUGAAGGCCUUAGGGUUGUAAAGCUCCUUCAGCUGGGAAGAUAAUGACGGUACCAGCAGAAGAAGCCCCGGCUAACUCCGUG